CCAGGUACCUCAUGCCAACGAGUCUGAAUGGUCUAAUAACUGGACAUUCGGUGAUGUAGUGUGGGAGAUCAUGCACAGCACAAAAGUGUGACUCUAAUCUUGUUUACAGUGGAAAGGUUUCGGGAAAUCCUAAAGAGCUUCCCAUCAGUGUCGCGAUGAGAUAAUGUAAUGUUUUGUCUCCACGAGAUGUUCACCCGCUGGGAAUAGAACUGGAGCUCUAAAACACAUUAAGAGACGUGCGCUAGCUCGGAAUAGAACUGGAGCUCUAAAACAUGAAAAGAUACGGUCACCUGCUGAGAAUAGAACUGGGGCUCUAAAAUACAAUAGGAGACAUGCGCUAGCUCGGAAUAGAACUGAGCUCUUAAACACAACAAGAGACGAUCUCCAACUGAUAAUAGAACAGAUGAUCUAUAUCACACCAAUAGAUGGUCAUCUGCUAAGAAGAGAAAUGGGGCUCUAAGACACAACAAAAGACGUAAGUCUGAUGGAAAUAAAAUGGAGGCUCUAAAAGACAACAAGAAACGUACACCAGCUUGUAACUGUAUUAUGGGCACUAAAACACUGGAGUGUACACCAGUUGGCAAGAAAACUGGGAGCUCUAUGCUCAACACGCACCCAGUACUAACUUAUACUUGCAAUGGUCGCUGUUCACCCAGCAGUAACCUGCACGUUCAUCACAUUGGUCCUGUUCACUCAGCAGUAACCUGCACGUUCAUCACAUUGGUCCUGUUCACCCAGCAGUAACUUGCACGUUCAUCACAUUGGUCCUGUUCACUCAGCAGUAACUUGCACGUUCAUCACAUUGGUCCUGUUCACUCAGCAGUAACUUGCACGUUCAUCACAUUGGUCCUGUUCACUCAGCAGUAACUUGUAUCUUCACGUAUAUUGUUGUUGGAUCAUGUUCUGGGAGCAUCCUGUAUGAUUAUGAUAUAAAAUAAGGUGUAGUAUCAAUUGUUCGUAGUCUGAAAAAAUAUUAAAUUAAGGUUGGAAACUCACGAUUAUUUCCUCUAAAGAUACUGUGUGUAUAGAAUACAUCAGAAUAUUCGUCAGGCGAUAACGACAGUGAAUAUUGGCUGUUUGUGGGGUAAAAUGACGUGGUAGGAGAGUACAGCUGAUGACGUAACCUUCCUCAGGCUCGCCGCCAUGCUGCUGCUGACGGCGACGAGCGCCAGGUCCCCCAAGCACAAGCCUGACUUCAAACCUUACUAUGAUAAGCACCGGCUAGGAGGACCGUUGAAGAUGCCCACCUGCCUGUGUUACCGCCAGCCCUGCCCUUGUGCCCCAGAAGGAAAUGAACUGGAUUUCAAUUUUGAGAAUUUUUAAACCUUCAUUUUUGUUGUCUGGCUGUAUAGCUGCUGUCACACUUGAAGCUGUAUCAAUGUCAGUAUAUACGCCAAGUGAAAUUGAAUAUAUAUCAUUAUAUCUUGCUAUCUGAAGGUAAUGUAUGUCGGUAAAUCUUGCCAUCUGUAGGUAAUGAAUGUCAGUAUAUUUUGCCAUAUGUAGAUAAUUGAUGUCAGUAUAUCUUGCCAUAUGUAGAUAAUGGAUGUCAGUAUAUCUUGCCCACUAUAGGUAAUGGAUGUCAGUAUAUCUGCCAAGUGAAACUGGAUGUAUCUCUUUAUAGUUCACGUUAUAUGGGAAGCUGUUUGGAUGUCAAUUUAUCAUGUAAUUAAAGAUUUGUGUAUGUCAGUAUAUCUGACGUUAUAAGUGAAGCUAUAUGGAUGUUAGUUAAUCAUGUUGCAAGUAAAGCUUAGUGAACUAGAGUAUUGCUGACGUUAUAACUGAUGCUGUAUACAUGUCACUUUAUCUUGUCGUAAAUAAAGCACACUGAAUAUCAAUAUCGGUGACGAUAAAAGUAAAGCUGCAUGAAUAUCAGUUUAUCGCGUUGUAAGUAAAGCUUAGUGGGUGUCAGUGUAGCCAACAUCAUAAUAAAGCUCCAAUGAGUCAAACAUCGCGAGUAAACACUCUGGAAAGUCACUGCUAAUAAACGUUUUCUUAUAA
rnacentral:lncRNA from 1 species